UACGAAGGGGGCUAGCGUUGCUCGGAAUUACUGGGCGUAAAGCGCACGUAGGCGGUCUUUUAAGUCGGGGGUGAAAUCCUGGAGCUCAACUCCAGAACUGCCUUCGAUACUGGAAGACUUGAGUCCGGGAGAGGUGAGUGGAACUGCGAGUGUAGAGGUGAAAUUCGUAGAUAUUCGCAAGAACACCAGUGGCGAAGGCGGCUCACUGGCCCGGUACUGACGGCUGAGGCAC
rnacentral:rRNA from 1 species